UAGAGCGCGCGCUUGAUAAGCGUGAGGUCGGAAGUUCAAGUCUUCCCAGGCCCACCAUUUUGAUCGAGUGCGGAGCAUUCGUCUUCUGGUACGGGGCCAUAGCUCAGCUGGGAGAGCGCGUGCUUUGCAAGCAUGAGGUCGUCGGUUCGAUCCCGUCUGGCUCCACCAGAUGGUUUGAUCACCAACGGCGUUACCGUCGUCCGCGAAACAUCACUUCGCACUCAUUGGUCCGGAUGGACGGUGACGUGCGUGUUUUCUGACAUCGUAAAGAGGAGAUCGAUCCGAGUUUGGAUCAAGCGAAGCAAUUCGCCUGAACCAUUCAUUAUCUCCGGGAUCAUUUCGGCGCUCGCGCAUCGCAGUUCAUCGCAAGAUGAGUGGGGUGAGCGGGUUGUAAAUGAUCUCUUUUAGCGAAGCUUGACCGCCUCGCUAUCGGGCCGAUCUUACGAAGCAAGCUGGUCUUUCUAGUCAAUGUCCGGCUGCGCAAUCGCAUUCAUCGAGGAUGCGUGCCUGGGACUUCGGUCUUCGGGCAGUUGCGCAGACAACAUUCUGCCGAGUGUGUGGACAUUGAUAAUGAGAGCAAUCAAGUGCCUUAAGGGUGUUCGGUGGAUGCCUUGGCGCUGAGAGGCGAUGAAGGACGUGCUACGCUGCGAUAAGCCGUGGGGAGCUGCGAAGAAGCUUUGAUCCGCGGAUUUCCGAAU
rnacentral:misc_RNA from 1 species